GUAGGUGGCAAGCGUUGUCCGGAAUUAUUGGGCGUAAAGCGCGCGCAGGCGGUUCUUUAAGUCUGAUGUGAAAGCCCACGGCUCAACCGUGGAGGGUCAUUGGAAACUGGAGAACUUGAGUACAGAAGAGGAAAGCGGAAUUCCACGUGUAGCGGUGAAAUGCGUAGAGAUGUGGAGGAACACCAGUGGCGAAGGCGGCUUUCUGGUCUGUAACUGACGCUGAGGCGCGAAAGCGUGGGGAGCAAACAGGGAUUAGAUACCCUGGUAGUCCACGCCGUAAACGAUGAGUGCUAAGUGUUAGGGGGGUUUCCGCCCCCCUUAGCGCUGCAGCUAACGCAUUAAGCACUCCGCCUGGGGAGUACGGCCGCAAGGCUG
rnacentral:rRNA from 1 species